rnacentral:lncRNA from 1 species
GGCGAGGCCAGCCAAUAGUUUAAACCUGCUAUACCAAGUCCUUACAUUCCAAAUAGUCCCAAAAUUGCAAAAAGGAAACCCUGGAAACGAGUGAAAUACAAAUAUUAAGACGGCUAAAAUAUUUGCUAUUGAUUAGAGAGCACCUUUAAAUUAAGGUUCCUCUCAAGUUGAAGAUGACAGAAAAGAAAGUAUAAAGGUGUGGCAGUAGUUGUAUAAAAUAUUGAAAAUCUGAAAAGGUUAAUUGCUUAGGCCAGUGGUCUGUAAUUUCCAGAACAUGAGAGGAUACAGAAUCCUUGCCUCUGUAGCCAUCUGAACUCAAUAUCUGAUAUUCUUCUUGUUGUGGCUUUGAUACGGCCUAACAAAUAGCCACUUACCCAGAGCAAGUGAUCAUGUAGGCCAGAGGAACUUUAGAGAAUACUGACCUCGUUUAUCUGAAGAGAUGGAUCCCACCAGGGGAAAUGUGGCAUUCACUCAAUCCCUUCACUGUCCCUGAAAGUGUGUCCACUUGGCAAAGCUUAUUGUCUUACUUUUCAGGUAGCAUGGAUUAAGAUCAAGAGCAUUAUCCUACAGUUAAGUUCCUGAGUGCUCAGCUCCAGUUAUUCCAUAUCCUUAAGAGGAUUCUUUCAUCAAGCUCUUGUCCAUUGAGAGAUUUAACAGCACUGAGGGACCACAAAAUGUCCCAUUUCUCUUCUUUAUUUCUCUUUUUCACCCCAGUGUACAAGUUUUUACCAAAAUGCUGCAGCAGUAGUUAAAAAUGAGUUAUUUUGUAUUACCAAAAGUAUUCAAUCACAUUAUGAUAGGUCACAUUUGAAUAUAACUUGGAGAUAGCCAAAUAAUGUUUAUUGCAGUGAUUUUGCAAAUUCAGCAUAGUCAAUGUAUCCAUCAUUGUUCUUGUCAUCUCUCAAGACACCAUCUAUUAUGUAAAUCAGUUCUUUUCUCAUUAGUGGCACCUGUUCACUCUCUUCCUCCAUAUGGACAUGAUGGCUCUAGAGAGUUCUAAGCCAUCAAGUAAAUUAUUUCCAUCAUAAUCGUGUAUUUUGAAAUAAUGGAGCUGCAGUUCUUGUGGGGACAUCUCCGCCUAUGGUUUGUUGAUGACACCUUCCAGAUGCUCCAUGAUAUGCUCUUGUUCAUGUACCAUGCUCUUAUCGAAGCCCAGGCUGCCGGGAUGGGGGACAUUGGCCCCAGGCUGCUCAGCCCUGGCAUCUGAAGCACAAAAAGCCCAGAGCAGGCCAUACAGGAAGGGGCCUUUGAGCAGAUGCAGGGAUCUCAGGGUCACCGGUAACUUGAUCCUAGGUCCCAGGUCCCAGUCCCACCCCGCUGCUGAUGCCUGAGCAUCUCCCACUGACCCCCCAGAAUAUUAAUUCUUGCGAGAACAAUCCUGAGAAUUUUGCUGCUGGGUGUGGUGAUACAGGCCUAUAAUCCCAGUGACUCAGGAGGCUGAGG